GAUGAACGCUAGCGACAGGCUUAACACAUGCAAGUCGAGGGGCAGCGCGGGAGUCAGCUUGCUGACUUUUGGCGGCGACCGGCGCACGGGUGAGUAACACGUAUGCAACCUGCCCGCCACAGGGGGAUAACCGGGAGAAAUCCCGACUAAUACCGCGUAGUCCCGGGGAAGGCAUCUUCCCCGGGGGAAAGGAGCGAUCCGGUGGCGGAUGGGCAUGCGGCGCAUUAGCUAGUCGGCGGGGUAACGGCCCACCGAGGCGACGAUGCGUAGGGGUUCUGAGAGGAAGGUCCCCCACAUUGGUACUGAGACACGGACCAAACUCCUACGGGAGGCAGCAGUGAGGAAUAUUGGUCAAUGGGCGAAAGCCUGAACCAGCCAAGUCGCGUGAGGGAAGACGGUCCUACGGAUUGUAAACCUCUUUUGUCGGGGAGCAAAGGGGCCAUUAAUGGCAGGAUGAGCGUACCCGAAGAAAAAGCAUCGGCUAACUCCGUG
rnacentral:rRNA from 1 species